UACGAAGGGGGCAAGCGUUGUUCGGAAUUACUGGGCGUAAAGGGCGCGUAGGCGGCUUAUCAAGUCAGGCGUGAAAUUCCCGGGCUCAACCUGGGGGCUGCGCUUGAUACUGAUUGGCUUGAAUGCGGGAGAGGAUAGUGGAAUUCCCAGUGUAGAGGUGAAAUUCGUAGAUAUCUGGAGGAACACCGGUGGCGAAGGCGACGUCCUGGACCGGCAUUGACGCUGAGGCGCGAAAGCCAGGGGAGCAAACGGG
rnacentral:rRNA from 1 species